rnacentral:rRNA from 1 species
ACGAACGCUGGCGGCGUGCUUCACCCCUGCAAGUCGAACGGAAAGGCCCCUUUGGGGGUCCUCGAGUGGCGAACGGGUGAGUAACACGUGAGUAACCUGCCCUUGACUUCGGGAUAACUUCAGGAAACUGGGGCUAAUACCGGAUAGGAAUCCUUGCUGCAUGGUGGGGGUUGGAAAGCUUCGGCGGUUUUGGAUGGACUCGCGGCUUAUCAGCUUGUUGGUGGGGUAGUGGCUUACCAAGGCUUUGACGGGUAGCCGGCCUGAGAGGGCGACCGGCCACAUUGGGACUGAGAUACGGCCCAGACUCCUACGGGAGGCAGCAGUGGGGAAUAUUGCACAAUGGGCGGAAGCCUGAUGCAGCAACGCCGCGUGCGGGAUGACGGCCUUCGGGUUGUAAACCGCUUUCAGCAGGGGCGAAGCUUGUGGUGACGGUACCUGCAGAAGAAGCACCGGCUAACUACGUG